rnacentral:lncRNA from 1 species
UACGGGGAGACCUAAAUCGUGACUCAAUUUGCCCUUUUAUAGAGGGAAUACAAGCGUGCUAAGGCUUAGAAAAAGCCACACUCGUCUAUAUCCCAUAUUUAAGGGGACUCUCAAGCAAAUGAACCCUAUAACUAGCAUGAAAUGCAAAAAUCCUAAAAUGGAGGGAAAAGGGGUUCGAGGGGCAUGCAAAAUGAUAAAACUAAAAAGAAUGCAUGACAUGUAAUGAACAUGCAAACAUGUACUAACGAGGGGAAAUCCCUAAGGGUCUAGCGUUGGACUAACCCAUUCUAUGAAUUCCGACUAGCGUUGGACUAGUGGAAACGUACAUUCAUCCAUCACAUUCAUUCAGGCUAUG